GCGGUUUAGUGAAGUUAUGGUAAGUAGUUCAAAAGGGACUCAAAAUCCCGUGACCGCAAGGUCGUGCGGGUUCGACCCCCGCCUCCGGCACCA
rnacentral:tRNA from 4 species